rnacentral:lncRNA from 1 species
UUUUUGGAGUAGCGCUGCCUUGGAGUCGACUCGAACUGUCUUGGAGUCGACUCGCGUCUCAGAGACAACCAUACUGUCUUCUGUCUUUUUGGGGUCGCUUUGUCUCGGAGUCGACUCGGGCUUUGCGGGAGUCGACUCGGCUCUCAGUGCCCGAAAGUUGCUCUCUGACUUUUGCCUUGUAUAACACUGAGAGUCGACUCUCGCUUCCUUUGAAGUCGACCUGCCAACCAUCGGAGUCGACUCGCGUUCCUCAGGAGUCGACUCGGCUCUCAGGGUCCAAAAUGACUUCUCUGUCUUUCUGUCUGUAACUCCCUGGAGUCGUCUCAUACUACUCUGGAGUCGACUCGCGCUCUUCAGGAGUCGACUCGCUGACAGGUUGUGAGUUGGGUCUUUCUGUUCGUCUGUCUGUUCUCAGUCGGAGUCGACUCUUAAUGUUCCGGAGUCGACUCGCGCCUGUGCCAAUGCUUCCGAUACGCUUGGAGUCGACUCGUAAAAUCCCGGAGUCGACUCGAGUCUCAGACUUUGGUUCAAGUUGACUUCUUAACUUAUCCAAAAUGUCUUGAACCAAAUCUAGAGACACUUAACCAUAAAUUUACAAGAUUUUCACUGAAACACUAGAUUGAAUUCAUUAGUAAGCAAAAGAUAUACUCAAAUGCUUUGAGCUCAUCAAAAUCAAAUAGGGUUAUAAUCAAUCACUCCACAAUCUCCCCCUUUUUGAUGAUGACAAAACAUUGAGUAUAUGUAAAGUGAAUUGCUCAACAAACAAGGAGAAUUAUAGUAAAAUUUGAAAAUGAAUUCAAGUGUCUAGUUAGUUUUAAUUUAUCCAGUCUUGAAAGGUGUGAAACAAUAAAUUUCGACGUUAAGGCUCCCCCUUUCAUUUGGAAUUAUAUAAGCCUUCAUAUCAUGCAAUCAAUUGUUUGGCUUAUAUAUAUUUAAUAAUUUUGCUUUCUUAAAAAUUCAGAUUCUCCCCCUCAACACAUGCAUUCAACUUUGUUUUGAAUCUCAGAAUUUUCUUUUAGUGCAUUGAAGCUUUUGAACUUUAAAUUUUUGUUUUUUUUUUAAA